UGAACUGAGUAUAGAGGGGAUCCCAUGAGAAGGAAUUUAUGUAUUUUUUACUACCUGAAAAAAGCUUCACCAUAGAGCUAGUAAGAAGCUUUGACCUCAGUUAUACAGCCAGAAGAAUAUAAUUCAUUACAGCCUGAAUGAGUUUGGAAGUAGGCUUUUUUCCCCAGCAACAUUUUGAUUGUAGCUUGUGAGAACAGAACUUGGGCAGAAGAUCUAGCUAAGGUCUACACUUUUGACCUACAGGAACUUUAAGAUAAUAAAUGUGCAUUAAGCUGCUAAGUUUGUGAUAAUUUAUUACACAGAAAUAAAAACUAAUGUAGCCUCGUAAACGUCUUUAAACCUUACUGCUUACAAAGAUGUUCACAUCUCUCUAUUAUGGGCUUCCCCCAUCUGUAAGGAUACUAUGAAGUUCUCCCCUCUGUAAGGCAACAGACACCCCUCCAGUACUUGCCUCACCUCCCCUUUCUGGGUGUUGGGUCAAAAACUAGCAUUAAAUCUCAGUAUAACCUGGCUAGAAACAUGCUGAUCCUGACAAUGGAGGAAAGAGAUUAUACCCAAAGGAACUGCAAAAUUUCCUUAACAUGUACCAGAUGGAUUCAAGAGAGUGCUGAUAAGAUUGGAUUUUGAGGUUGCUUGAUCAAGUAAGCCAAAUGUAAGUCUAACUAUGCAAAGGUGUCUUCAUUGACUGGGGUGUCUUUUAUUGAAACAAAAGAUUUAACACUACAGCAAGGACCAUAGAGGAUAAGACAAAUUCAUUGUUAGAGUGGCAGUUAGAAGCCUGGAGAAAGUGAUGGUCCAUGCCAAACAAAGUAGAAAUGCCUCAGUUUCCCUGGCAGGCAAUAGAGGAUGUGGUUAAAAAAAAAAAAAAAAAAGAUCUGAUAUAACUAAUGACUGGAAAGAAAUCAUCACCAUUGUAGAUACAUUCAUUCACCUUUUACUUCUUUAACAAAUAUUUAU